rnacentral:rRNA from 1 species
UACAUGCAGUCGAGCGGACGAUUCAAAGCUUGCUUUUGAAUCUUAGCGGCGGACGGGUGAGUAACACGUGGGCAACCUGCCCUGUAGACGGGGAUAACACCGAGAAAUCGGUGCUAAUACCGGAUAACACGAAAUGUCGCAUGACGUUUCGUUGAAAGACGGCGCAAGCUGUCGCUACAGGAUGGGCCCGCGGCGCAUUAGCUAGUUGGUGAGGUAACGGCUCACCAAGGCGACGAUGCGUAGCCGACCUGAGAGGGUGAUCGGCCACACUGGGACUGAGACACGGCCCAGACUCCUACGGGAGGCAGCAGUAGGGAAUCUUCCGCAAUGGACGAAAGUCUGACGGAGCAACGCCGCGUGAGCGAAGAAGGCCUUCGGGUCGUAAAGCUCUGUUGUUAGGGAAGAACAAGUAACGUAGUAACUGGCGUUACUGUGACGGUACCUAACGAGAAAGCCACGGCUAACUACGUGCCAGCAGCCGCGGUAAUACGUAGGUGGCAAGCGUUGUCCGUAAUUAUUGGGCGUAAAGCGCGCGCAGGCGGUUCCUUAAGUCUGAUGUGAAAGCCCACGGCUCAACCCGUGGAGGGUCAUUGGAAACUGGGGGACUUGAGUGCAGANNAGGAGAGCGGAAUUUCCACGUGUAGCGGNGAAAUGCGUAGAGAUGUGGAGGAACACCAGUGGCGAAGGCNGCUCUCUGGUCUGUAACUGACGCUGAGGCGCGAAANNNGUNGGGGAGCAAACAGGAUUAGAUACCCUGGUAGUCCACGCCGUAAACGAUGAGUGCUAAGUGUUAGAGGGAUCCACCUUUAGUGCUGUAGCUAAACGCAUUAAGCACUCCG